rnacentral:rRNA from 1 species
AAGACCUUGCGCUUUUGGAGCGGCCGAUGUCUGAUUAGCUAGUUGGUAGGGUAAUGGCCUACCAAAGCUUCGAUCAGUAGCUGGUCUGAGAGGACGACCAGCCACACUGGGACUGAGACACGGCCCAGACUCCUACGGGAGGCAGCAGUGGGGAAUUUUGGACAAUGGGCGCAAGCCUGAUCCAGCCAUGCCGCGUGAGUGAAGAAGGCCUUCGGGUUGUAAAGCUCUUUCAGCCAGGAAGAAAAGGCUACGACGAAUAAUCGUAGCUCAUGACGGUACCGGAAGAAGAAGCACCGGCUAACUACGUGCCAGCAGCCGCGGUAAUACGUAGGGUGCGAGCGUUAAUCGGAAUUACUGGGCGUAAAGGGUGCGCAGGCGGUUUUGUAAGUCAGAUGUGAAAUCCCCGGGCUUAACCUGGGAACU